rnacentral:rRNA from 1 species
UACGGAGGGAGCUAGCGUUGUUCGGAAUUACUGGGCGUAAAGCGCGCGUAGGCGGCUUUGUAAGUUAGAGGUGAAAGCCCGGAGCUCAACUCCGGAAUUGCCUUUGAUACUGCAUCGCUUGAAUCCAGGAGAGGUGAGUGGAAUUCCGAGUGUAGAGGUGAAAUUCGUAGAUAUUCGGAAGAACACCAGUGGCGAAGGCGGCUCACUGGACUGGUAUUGACGCUGAGGUGCGAAAGCGUGGGGAGCAAACAGG